rnacentral:rRNA from 1 species
GUAUAUGCUUGUCUCAAAGAUUAAGCCAUGCAAGUGCAAGUGCACGCUGGGUCUUCGGACCGACGGCAAGACUGCGAACGGCUCAGUAUAACAGCCUGAAUUCUCAGGUGCACGCCCGGUUGUUUCACGCAAUCACAAGUGGAUAACUGUGGCAAUUCUAGAGCUAAUACAUGCGAACAAGCUCCGACCCCCUGGCGGGUUAGAGCGCUUUUGUUAGCCUCUUAUAGCUAAGAUCGGCCCGCCAUAAGCCCCUCCUCUCGGGGUGUGGGCGGCGGGUGCAACGGUUUGGCUCGUGAAAGAGAACAACACGCCGAUCGCAGGCAGCCGUCGUUGAGCGGCGGCGACGGCACUCUCAAGCGUCUGCCCUAUCAAUACUGGAGGUGAGGUCAAGGGCCUGCCCUGGUUAUGACGGGUGACGGGGAAUUAGGGUUCGAUUCCGGAGAGGCAGCCUGCGAAACGGCUACCACAUCCAAGGAAGGCAGCAGGCGCGCAAAUUACCCAAUGCCCACCGGGCGAGGUAGUGACGAAAAAUAGCAAUGCUGGCGGCCGGUAGUGCCGUCGGUAAUUGAAAUGGGUACAGCCUAAACCCUUUAACGAGGAGCGAUUAGAGGGCAAGUCUGGUGCCAGCAGCCGCGGUAAUUCCAGCUCUAACAGCGUAUAUAAAGACUGUUGCGGCUAAAACGCUCGUGGUUGGAUUUCAGGCCGGGGGCCCACCGCGUCGCGGGCUUCUCGAGAGAGGAGCGCUUAAAUAGGCGACGAGGCAGAGUUCUCUUGACUGGGGAUUCGCGGGCCGACCGUGUUCCUGACUGGCACUCUCGUCCGAGUGGGGGCUCUUGACCGGGUUCCCCCGGGCGGCCAAGUCACAUUUACUUUGAACAAAUUGGAGUGCUCAGAGCGAGGCCUUAGGGCCUGAACAUUGGUUGCAUGGAAUAAUGGAAAAGGACCUCGGGUCCAACGGUGGUCUUCGGGACACCGAGGUAAUGAUUAACAGGGACUGCCGGGGGCAUUCGUACUGCGGGGCGAGAGGUGAAAUUCAGAGACCCUUGCAGGACGGCCAACAGCGAAAGCAAGUGCCAAGCAUGUUUUCACUAAUCUAGAACGAAAGUCGGGGGCUCGAAGACGAUUAGAUACCGUCGUAGUCCCGACCGUAAACUAUGCCAACCGUCGAUCCGCCUUCGGGUUACUACCAUGACCUGGCGGGCAGUCUACGGGAAACCACUGAGUUGGUUCCGGGGGGAGUACGGUUGCAAGACUGAAACUUAAAGGAAUUGACGGAAGGGCACCACCAGGAGUGGAGCCUGUGGCUCAAUUUGACUCAACACGGGAAACCUCACCCGGCCCGGACAUUCGGAAGGAUUGACAGAUUAAACGGCUCUUUCUCGAUCCGGUGGGUGGUGGUGCAUGGCCGUUCUUAGUCGGUGGAGCGAUUUGUCUGGUUAAUUCCGAUAACGGACGAGACUCUCUCCUGCUAACUAGUUCGGGCAAACCAGAUGAAACACUCUGGGGCGCCUCCCGGCUCUGGCUUCGGCUUAUCCGGGUUGGCGCUGCCCUGCAAAACUUCUUAGAGGUACAGGUGGCUUGACAAGCCACACGAGAUUGAGCUAUAACAGGUCUGUGAUGCCCUUAGAUGGCCGGGGCCGCACAUGUGCUACAAUGAUCGAGACAGCGGGCGCCAAGCCUGGCCCGAAAGGGUUUUCAGGAAAUCCCUGAACCUCGAUCUUAGUAGGGAUUGGGGCUUGCAAUUAUUCCCCAUGAACGAGGAAUUCCCGGUAGGCGCGGGUCACUAGCCCGCAUCGAUCGAGUCUCUGCCCUUUGUACACACCGCCCGUCGCUACUGCCGAUCGCUCUGGCUGACGAGCCUCUCGGAUUGGACCCAUGCGUGCUCUCUCGGGGGCCGCAUUCGGAUGAGCCGAGAAGCGCGGCGAGUCGGCCGGAGUAGAGGGAGUAAAAGUCGUAACAAGGUAUCC